UGUUUCAAUUGUCUAUCUAUUGCAUCAUC
rnacentral:sRNA from 1 species